GCGGGCGUAGUUCAGCGGUAGAAUGUCUGUUUUCCAAACAGAAGAUCGCGAGUUCGAAUCUCGUCGCCCGCU
rnacentral:tRNA from 3 species